rnacentral:rRNA from 1 species
GACGAACGCUGGCGGCGUGCUUAACACAUGCAAGUCGUACGGUAAGGCCCUUUCGGGGGUACACGAGUGGCGAACGGGUGCGUAACACGUGAGUAACCUGCCCACAACUUUGGGAUAACGCUAGGAAACUGGUGCUAAUACUGGAUAUGUGCUCCUGCUGCAUGGUGGGGGUUGGAAAGCUCCGGCGGUUGUGGAUGGACUCGCGGCCUAUCAGCUUGUUGGUGGGGUAGUGGCCUACCAAGGCGGCGACGGGUAGCCGGCCUGAGAGGGUGACCGGCCACAUUGGGACUGAGAUACGGCCCAGACUCCGACGGGAGGCAGCAGUGGGGAAGAUUGCACAAUGGGCGCAAGCCGGAUGCAGCAACGCCGCGUGCGGGAGGACGGCCUUCGGGUUGGAUACCGCUUUCAGCAGGGACGAAGCUUUUUGUGACGGUACCUGCAGAAGAAGCACCGGCUAACUACGUG